UACGUAGGUGGCAAACGUUAUCCGGAUUUACUGGGUGUAAAGGGCGUGUAGGCGGGAAAGCAAGUCAGAUGUGAAAACCAUGGGCUCAACCUGUGGCCUGCAUUUGAAACUGUUUUUCUUGAGUACUGGAGAGGCAGACGGAAUUCCUAGUGUAGCGGUGAAAUGCGUAGAUAUUAGGAGGAACACCAGUGGCGAAGGCGGUCUGCUGGACAGCAACUGACGCUGAGGCGCGAAAGCGUGGGGAGCAAACAGG
rnacentral:rRNA from 1 species